GUGAGGAAUAUUGGACAAUGGGCGCAAGCCUGAUCCAGCCAUGCCGCGUGCAGGAAGACGCAUCUAUGGUGUGUAAACUGCUUUUGUACGGGAAGAAACACUCCCUCGUGAGGGAGCUUGACGGUACCGUAAGAAUAAGGAUCGGCUAACUCCGUGCCAGCAGCCGCGGUAAUACGGAGGAUCCAAGCGUUAUCCGGAAUCAUUGGGUUUAAAGGGUCCGUAGGCGGAUUAAUAAGUCAGUGGUGAAAGCCCAUCGCUCAACGAUGGAACGGCCAUUGAUACUGUUAGACUUGAAUUACAAGGAAGUAACUAGAAUAUGUAGUGUAGCGGUGAAAUGCUUAGAUAUUACAUGGAAUACCAAUUGCGAAGGCAGGUUACUACUUGUGGAUUGACGCUGAUGGACGAAAGCGUGGGGAGCGAACAGGAUUAGAUACCCCUGUAGUCC
rnacentral:rRNA from 1 species